UGUCACUGUCACGCAAAUCAAUAUCGUAAAUCAAUUGAACAAUAAAGCAGUUCCAAGAGUCCCAUAAUGAAAAUCCAGCAGAUUACCGUUCCUAUUGCAACUCUUUCCGACGAACAACUUAAAACAUGGGCGCAACACCACGAGUUUGCGGUCAAAAACUUGGACCAGUGCGAGCCUAUAACAGAGGCUGAAUUGAAUAAGAUAAAGGAGGAUUUAGAGAACGUCUACUUUGAAAUAUGGAAGAGAGCAUUUCAGCCGGUAGUUGCUGAGCUUAAGAUCCGCCUUGCAGUGUUGCGGCACUAUUUGUUUUAAAAUUGUUUGUGUUGUAUUAAACCAAUCACCGAUUGAUACUACAAUGUAUUGCCAUGUGUAUUGAAUAAAAUGAAAUUCUUUUAAGUUA